AAUUUUUGUUAUAUAUAAACCCUUAGAACUAGUUUAACCAGCAUAAAUAGUUUUACUGUUUUAAUUUUUUUAAGUUAUUUGAAAUGGCUCAACAUUCUUUCAUGUUAAUUAUCUUUCUUGUCUUCGUAUUUUCAGUCAUAUCAAUGAAAAAUGGUGUAGUCAUGGCAAAGGAGUGUAUUGCAACUCGUGAAGGUCAAUGUCUUCUUGAAGCAUGCGGAGCAUGGUGCUUUCAAACUUAUAAAGGUCAUGGAACUUGUGUUCAGGCUGGUGGAGAUCCAUUGCAUCCUGUGUUUAAAUGUAUUUGCAAUUAUGAUUGUUCCACUUAAUAGAAAAAUAUCGGAUUUAAUUAUAUUAAAAAUAUAAAAGAAUAUUAAAAUAAAGUUAAUAAAUUCGAAGCAA